rnacentral:tRNA from 1 species
GCCUGGAUGGCUCAGUCGGUUGAGCAACUGACUUUGGCUUAGGUCAUGAUCUCAUGGUUUGUGAGUUCGAGCCCCGCGUCAGGCU